CAGCCGUAAACAAUGUGCGUUAGGUGUGUCGGUAACCACGUGUUACUGAUGCGCCGAAGAGAAAUCGUGAAACGCACCACCUGGGAAGUACGGUCGCAAGGAUGAAACUUAAAGGAAUUGGCGGGGGAGCACCGCAACGGGAGGAGCGUGCGGUUUAAUUGGAUUCAACACCGUAAAACUCACCAGGGAAGACUGUUACAUGAAGGCCGAGAUGAAGACUCUGCUAGAUUUUCAGAGAGGUGGUGCAUGGCGUCAGUGACU
rnacentral:rRNA from 1 species